AUGUACUCCCGUACACUCCGGCUCCUCAGCGCCGUCCGCACCCACCUGACGGUUGCUCGCUACGUUUUGUUAGCC
rnacentral:sRNA from 1 species